UAUGUGAUCGGUAAGAACUUCUUUGAAUCAAUGUCUGGAAAGAAUCGAUGGUGUGAAAAGCUAGCAGCAAAGAAUGAAGAACUGGAAAAAUGCAUCAUUCUGACUGGACACAAAAUAGUGGUCACAGAACUGCCAUGGAGGGAAUCUCUUCUGAGCAUCUAUCAAGCUAACAUCUGCCUUCCAUCAAAGUGGCAUCAGAGAACCAUAACCUCAUCAAAGAUGGGCUCACGUGACACGAAGAGGGAUCAUGUGGCAAAUGUUGGCAACAAGGUAUAAGUAAGUGUCCUCUUACCCAAAGUGUUUCUGGGAAAACGAAGGUUUUCCUGAUCAACAGGAAUAGGAUCAGAUAUGAUGGUACAAGGUUAUAAUUACAGUACUCAAGAGACUGAGACAGGAUGACUGUGAAUUGGAUAACAACCUGGGCUGCAAAAGAAGACCUGUUCUACAAAUCAAAUGAUACAUAUCUCUGUAGUCCCAAUCUGCCUGUGGCAGGACCACAGACGACAGCAUGGAUCUGCCUGCCAAGUGCUGUGUCCAGGAAAGAAUGGUGGGUAACACUAAGGACCCCAGAGGUAAGGGUGGCGGACACUGAGGAUCAAACCUGGCCAUGUCCAUGUGAGUGUCCUGUCAGAACUGAACUUCUCAUGUUAAGUCUGAAAGCAAAUGAAAAUCACCUUGGUUCUU